rnacentral:rRNA from 1 species
AUUGAACGCUGGCGGCAGGCCUAACACAUGCAAGUCGAACGAGUGGCGGACGGGUGAGUAAUGUCUGGGAAACUGCCCGAUGGAGGGGGAUAACUACUGGAAACGGUAGCUAAUACCGCAUACCAUCGGAUGUGCCCAGAUGGGAUUAGCUAGUAGGUGGGGUAACGGCUAACCUAGGCGACGAUCCCUAGCUGGUCUGAGAGGAUGACCAGCCACACUUGAACUCGUAAACGGUCCAGACUCCUACGUGAGGCAUCAGUGGGGACUAUGGCACAAGGGGCGCAAGCCGUAUGCAGCCAUGCCGCGUGUAUGAAGAAGGCCUUCUGGUUGUAAAGUACUUUCAGCGAGGAGGCGUUACUCGCAGAAGAACCACCGACUAACUCCGUGCCAGCCGCCGCGGUAAUAC